rnacentral:rRNA from 1 species
GACGAACGCUGGCGGCGCGCCUAACACAUGCAAGUCGAACGGUGAAGAGGAGCUUGCUCCUCGGCACAGUGGCGGACGGGUGAGUAACACGUGAGCAACCUGGCUCUAAGAGGGGGACAACAGUUGGAAACGACUGCUAAUACCGCAUUACGUAUCGGGAUGGCAUCUUCCUGAUACCAAAGAUUUUAUCGCUUAGAGAUGGGCUCGCGUCUGAUUAGAUAGUUGGCGGGGUAACGGCCCACCAAGUCGACGAUCAGUAGCCGGACUGAGAGGUUGAACGGCCACAUUGGGACUGAGACACGGCCCAGACUCCUACGGGAGGCAGAAGUGGGGGAUAUUGGACAAUGGGGGCAACCCUGAUCCAGCGACGCCGCGUGAGGGAAGAAGGUUUUCGGAUUGUAAACCUCUGUUGACGGAGAAAAAAAUGAUGGUAUCCGUUUAGAAAGCCACGGCUAACUACGUG